CACGUACAUUAGACCAAGAGGAACAGGAAGCAUGCCAUGCAUCAAGACGGCCUCCUAAGAAUAAGCAAUGAAAAUUGCAUGAAAGGUCCCUGUGUCUCCUGUGUGGUUGCUGCUGAUGUGUGAAAUUCAGGUCACUUGCCAGAAAUCCUGAGAGCUGGUUUCAAGUGAUGCCCAAGCCUGGCUGUUAAGCUGAGAAGCAAAUGCCGAGCCAGUGUGUAUCCAGUGGCAAUCAUGCAGUGGUAACGGAAUGUGAAGAAACUUUGGAAAAGAAAAGAGGAGCCAGCUGUGUCCACUGAGCGUGGCAUUAAGGGAGAAAGGC
ensembl:lncRNA